rnacentral:rRNA from 1 species
CGGGCCCGCACAAGCAGCGGAGCGUGUGGUUUAAUUCGAUGCUACACGAAGAACCUUACCAGGGUUUGACAUGCAAGUGGUAGGAAACCGAAAGGCGACCGACCCUUCGGGGAGCUUUGCACAGGUGCUGCAUGGCUGUCGUCAGCUCGUGUCGUGAGAUGUUCGGUUAAGUCCGCUAACGAGCGCAACCCUCGCUGUGUGUUACAAGUGUCACACGGUACUGCCGGUCUUAAGCCGGAGGAAGGUGGGAUGACGUCAAGUCAGCAUGGCCUUUAUGUCCUGGGCUACACACACGCUACAAUGGCCAACACGAUAGGUUGCUAAGCCGCGAGGUGGAGCCAAUCCUCAAAGUUGGUCUCAGUUCAGAUUGCAGGCUGCAACCCGCCUACAUGAAGAUGGAGUUGCUAGUAACCGCAGGUCAGCUAUACUGCGGUGAAUACGUUCCCGGGGCUU